CUGAGUACGGCGGAACACGUGAAAUUCCGUCGGAAUCCGGGAGGACCAUCUCCCAAGGCUAAAUACUCCCUAGUGACCGAUAGUGAACCAGUACCGUGAGGGAAAGGUGAAAAGCACCCCGGAAGGGGAGUGAAACAGUUCCUGAAACCGUGUGCCUACAAGUAGUUAGAGCCCGUUAAUGGGUGAUAGCGUGCCUUUUGUAGAAUGAACCGGCGAGUUACGAUUUGUUGCAAGGUUAAGCGGAAAAAGCGGAGCCGUAGCGAAAGCGAGUCUGAAUAGGGCGCAUAAGUAACAGGUCGUAGACCCGAAACCAGGUGAUCUACCCAUGUCCAGGAUGAAGGUAAGGUAAUACUUACUGGAGGUCCGAACCCACGCACGUUGAAAAGUGCGGGGAUGAGGUGUGGGUAGCGGAGAAAUUCCAAUCGAACUUGGAGAUAGCUGGUUCUCUCCGAAAUAGCUUUAGGGCUAGCCUCGAGGUAAAGAGUCAUGGAGGUAGAGCACUGUUUGGAC
rnacentral:rRNA from 1 species